UUGUGAAAUGGAGGGAUUCCCCCCCCCCCCCCCCCAAAACCAUUAAUCCCACAUCGGUUGAGGUUUUGAACCCUAGAAUUUGGGGGUUCUAUAUAAAGAACCCCAAUUUCUAUCAUCACACACAAAGAAAAUACUUGCAAGUUUGGCAAAAACCCAUUUCUAGGUUUUAUACUGAAUUUGUGAGCAUAUUUGCAGUUUUGGUUUGCCCGAAACCCUCUCUAGUCUAAAAUUGGUCUUAUUUUUUCUAAAACCUUUGGAUUUCUUUGUGGUUUGUGUGGCUGUGAGGUGUGGGAGAAGGAAGAGCUUUCAAACUCCAUUCUCGAUAAGGCUGCCACUACAAAAGAAGUACUUGUCCGAGGGAGUCACAAGGUGUCCAUUUCACCUAUCUUCCUUUGAUUACAGAAGCAAACUACUGGAAAAGAACCUUCAGUUUCAGAUUUUUAUUUUCGCACUCAUCGCAAGGAAAAAUAUAAAAGUUGGGUAAAUGAGAAAGCUAAAGCUGCUUUU